AGUGAACGCUGGCGGCAGGCCUAACACAUGCAAGUCGAGCGGCAGCGCGUCCGACCACCCUCGGGUGGUCGGAUGGCGGCGAGCGGCGGACGGGUGAGGAAUGCAUCGGAAUCUGCCUCGUUGUGGGGGAUAACGUAGGGAAACUUACGCUAAUACCGCAUACGACCUACGGGUGAAAGUGGGGGACCUUCGGGCCUCACGCGAUGAGAUGAGCCGAUGCCGGAUUAGCUAGUUGGCGGGGUAAAGGCCCACCAAGGCGACGAUCCGUAGCUGGUCUGAGAGGAUGAUCAGCCACACUGGAACUGAGACACGGUCCAGACUCCUACGGGAGGCAGCAGUAAGGAAUAUUGGACAAUGGCCGCAAGGCUGAUCCAGCCAUGCCGCGUGCAGGAAGACGGACCUAUGGUUUGUAAACUGCUUUUGAACGGGAGAAAACCCCCCUACGUGUAGGGGGCUGAUAGUACUGUUAGAAUAAGCAUCGGCUAACUUCGUGCCAG
rnacentral:rRNA from 1 species